GUGCUUGCUUUGGCAGCACAUACACUAAAAUUGGAACGAUACAGAGAAGAUUAGUGUGGCCCCUGCGCAACGACUACACGCAAAUUCGUGAAGCGUUCCGUGUUUAA